UUCCAGGUUGAAAGCCUGCAGAAUGUCAUGAACUUUCUUUUGCCCACUGUUGUGCUUCCCAAGGUUAAUGCGAGGCUGCAGCAAGGCUUCCCGCUCCCCAUGCCUGCCCAUGUCCAGCUGCUCAACCUGCUGCUUCAGUCUCACCAGGACUUCCUGCUGGUUGGUGCAGACGUUGACUACAGCUGAAGUGGCCUGGCGGUGGCUGUCGGCCGCCCAGGGGAGGGGGUGGAGCACCCACCUUUCCUCAGCCACCCUGCUCUCGCUCUUGACCCAGAAUCCCUUGAAGACUCUUCUGCAUUCAGGUUCAAAAAUGAUCUAAACACGCGAAACUUGCUCCCUGGAAAAGUGGGGGUGCGAAGCCCUGGAUGUCUUCCGAGCGCUCCAGCUGCAUGCACAUUUCUAGGAAUUGUGUUUCCAUUGUAAGCACAAUACUUCUUUUUGUGACAUACACACAGCAACCUUUGUUUUUC